rnacentral:rRNA from 1 species
UACGAAGGGGGCUAGCGUUGUUCGGAUUUACUGGGCGUAAAGCGCACGUAGGCGGAUCGUUAAGUCGGGGGUGAAAUCCUGGGGCUCAACCCCAGAACUGCCUUCGAUACUGGCGAUCUCGAGUCCGGAAGAGGUGAGUGGAACUCCUAGUGUAGAGGUGGAAUUCGUAGAUAUUAGGAAGAACACCAGUGGCGAAGGCGGCUCACUGGUCCGGUACUGACGCUGAAGUGCGAAAGCGUGGGGAGCAAACAGG